UACAGAGGGCGCGAGCGUUAAUCGGAUUCACUGGGCGUAAAGGGCGCGUAGGCGGUUAUAUGAGUGUGAUGUGAAAGCCCUGGGCUUAACCUAGGAAGUGCAUCGCAAACGAUAUGACUGGAGUAUUGGAGAGGGUAGCGGAAUUUCCGGUGUAGCGGUGAAAUGCGUAGAGAUCGGAAGGAACGUCAAUGGCGAAGGCAGCUACCUGGCCAAAUACUGACGCUGAGGUGCGAAAGCGUGGGGAGCAAACAGG
rnacentral:rRNA from 1 species